UGAACUAAAAAAUAAUACUAAUAUAACAUAUAUACCGAAGAGAAAAUGGUGGAAGCAAAUUGGAAUUUAUAUAAAGAGAAAACGGUGAUUAACAAAAAACUAUCUGACUUUACAAACCACAUAGAUGCUUAUGAACAUCUAGUAAAAACAAUGGAUGAUAAAGCAAAUGAAACUAUUCCAGUUACCUCAAAAGCAGUAAGGAAGAUAACGAGAACAUGCUUUAGAAGAUAUCUGAGACAUAAAUGUGAUGCCAAUAGACUUGCAUAUUUGAGAGCAAAAGCAAAGCAGAAAAGAAUAAUCAAGAUAGCCAAAAGAAAUUCAUGGAAAAAACAUAAUAAUAUAAAUUCUAAAACUCAAGACAAAGAAAUCUGGAAGAAAAUAAAUAAACUGCAGGGUAGAUAUCGGCCAGAACCAUUACCUACAAUAAAAGUAGAAAACAACUAUAUUUCAAACCCUAAACUAGUAGCAAAUGAAUUAGGUAAAUUCUGCGCCAAAACAUCUAGUAUCUCGAAUUAUACAAAGAAAUUCCAAUUAAAAAUUAAAAAUUAUGUCCCAAUACCAAUAAAAUCUAACUGGAAAAUGUCCUGAAACUUGCAAGUUCAACAGCUCCAGGGGAAGACAACAUUAGAUAUGAAGUGAUAAAAAAUCUACCAGAUGAAAGCAAAACCUUUUUAUUAGAAAUUUUAAAUGAAUUAUGGCACUCUCACAGCAUGCCUAAAACCUGGAAAGCAUCUUUAAUCAUACCAGGCUUAAAACCAGGAAAAGACCCAGAGUCACCAAGCAGCUAUAGUGUAAUGAUGGAAAUCAUUCAUUUGACAUUUAUGACAGUACUCAUGGAAAUUGGUGGACUGGAAAACCGAAUUGGUUUUCAUCUUAUCAAGAUGUUAAGUUAGCCACUCGAAGUUGAGAUUGUCUAUGAUCGAGUGUACUUACGUACGUAACCGUAACCAAGUGCGCAGUUGCGUUGCAUUGCAUGAGCUCAAAUUGCUCUGUUCGAGACGAGUACGGCAACGCUGAAGGGAAGCGGAUGUAUCUACCCAAAAAGGUGGGUACACACGUGCGAACCGAACCUUGUAUUGUAACCGAUUCUUGUAACAAAAACGCAAGUGUGGACGGUUCCUCGAACCCGAACCCCGAACCCGCGAGGUUCGAGGCUCGGUUCGCCCUCCGUCCCGCCAAUUGUCGGUUUUUGGGCUCCGAAUCAAAGGGAGGUCUCUUUGAACGUUACGCCAUGUGUGGACGGGACCUGUAUUACACGCGUAACAACAGAGGUUGCUGAACUUGUUAACACCAUGAACAAGAACGUCCAUAGUAGAGUCCCUUGUUUUGGUCGUCAGUACGUAUAUGUCUACCAUGGCUGAUUGCAGUGACGAAAAGACUUUACUGUGGCCAGAAACUCCUUGGAAUCUCAUGUCAGCGAGUAAUUCCCGACCACUGUAUUCUACCCUUCUAGUAUAUAACCUUGAUUGCCACCAUCUUCUUUUAUUUCGCUUCAUCUUCGUUAAAUAAUGUGUAUAAAUAUACGCGGCAGCUGCUACUUGCGUGGUGGCCAUCGUCGGUAAACAACCCGGACAGAGACAGACUGGUGAUCGCAGUGGAUUGAAAUGAAGUUACGUGCUUAACGUGAUUACGGUUCGUCCUCUACAUUUUGACACCUUGUAACCGUAUAUGCGUAACUCGGUUACACAUACAAGGUUCGGCUCUCACGUGUGUACCCACCUUAAUUAUAUUCAUUUAAGAUGACGUAUUUCUCCCUUGUAAAAGGGAACAAGUAUAGGGGUCCUGUGGAAGAACCAGUAUAAGAAUCGGUGUUGGUUCUAACUGGUAUUGAAGGAGUACAGCUAGGAAUAAGCUGCUUUUACAAUCUAUCCACCUACUGUUAAGAAGAAAUAUUAAAAAAAAAAAACCCGGGAGCCAGCCUUUCCCUCAACCCUUAUUACAACAAUGAAGAUUCGACCGUCUCCGACGUCAAUUACCUGUUCCAGCUAAGAAUAGGCCAAGAAGUAAAGUAGCCUAGGCCUAUGAGUGCAAGCUGGAGCCUUCUGUUCAACUUGAAACAUUGUGGAUAUUGGUAGUGGGCCACCGAUGGGAGGGGAGAAAUCCCUCCCACCCAGAUGGUAAGCAUUCACCUUACUUUUUGUCCGCAUCUGAGACAGACUACUUUUUGUCCGCAUCUGAGACAGACAUGUGUCUACUGCUGCCUGCUGUUCGACUUGAUUCUUUGUUAUUCUUUUUGUUUUUGAAGCUGACUUUUGCUCUGAGAUAUGUACUAUACGUAGUGCCUAUAUUGAAAUAAUGCUACAAGGCACAGUAGAAUUAUGUCUUUCUUAUGAUAAAAUCUCUGACAUUUAUUGAAUGAAAAAAUAAUGAACUUGGAGCAUUACUGUACUAAUUUAAAAUGAACUGGAAAUCUUAAAACUUUAACCAUUAUAAUUUUAGAAUAGAGAAACACACAAAACAGUCUAGUUUCUUUGAGGAAAGACCAUUGUUAUCACUUAUGUUACGCAUUAUAAAAUUAAUUUCAAUACGGAAAGCAUUUAUGUGGAAACAAAUCAAAGGUCACAUAGAAAUUAUGCUUGACGUGUAAAUCAUACGAACCAUGAGUCACAGAGAUGUUAGAUAUAUACUGGUGACAAGGAAUGAAGGGUAAGCCAGCUCAAAUGGGUCACUGGGAUACCCCUUAUAGUACUUGGUGCCUAUACUCUGUUUUUUUUCAUCUGUCCAUCCGCCUGUGGUGUUUUUGUAUGGUAACACUGCGUCCCGGGCUUUAGAUAGUUACAUUCAGCUUACAUUCAACGAUUAUAAUAAUAUCCUAUUUCGAAUAUUAACGGUGUAAUUCGCAUACAGUAAAUUAUUAAAACACUUUUCAGGUACAAAUGUACACCCAGAUAUCCUUUUAUUUACCUAAAACUUACAAAUAGCGUAACUAUCUAAAGCCCGGGACGCAGUGUUACCAUACAAAAACACCACAGGCGUAUGGACAGAUGAAAAAAAACAGAGUAUAGUUACAUCCCAUAUAUUUGUGACUGCUAGCCAAAAUAAUUUUUUAAUUGCAGUUAACCCUUCAUGUGUUCCAAACAAAAUACAUAUAUCAAAACUAAAAGUAAAACCAAUUUAUUUUAACCUUACCUGAAACCAGCACAAAGUCACGGUUUAGAAGUUCUUCUGCCAUAGUUUUACAGUUACUCAAAACCUGUUCUUGAUAUGCCCGAA